CGGCCACAGUAUUUAGACUGUGCGAAGGUAGCAUAAUAAUUUGCCAUUUAAUUGGUGGCUGGAAUGAAUGAAUGCCCGAGAAAGAGAUUUUAUUAAUUUAGUGAACUAAAAUUAGUGACUAGGUGAAAAAUCCUAGAUCAAUCUGAAAGACAAAAAGACCCUAAUGAACUUUAAGUUUUCACUUAGAAUAAGGUUGAUAACUUUUGGCUGGGACGGCUAAAGAGCAUUUUUAACCUCUAAGAAUUAAUUAGACUUUAGUCAUUUUAAUGAUCCUAUUAUGAUCAUCAAUUUUAAGUUACCAUAGGGAUAACAGGCCAAUUUUUCUUGAGAGUUCAUAUUUAAGGAAAAGCUUGGCACCUCAUGUUGGCUUAGGAUAACUUCAUGC
rnacentral:rRNA from 1 species